CCUGGUGGUUAUGGCGGAGCGGCUGCACCCGAUCCCAUUCCGAACUCGGCCGUGAAACGCUCCAGCGCCGAUAGUACUUCGUCUCAAGACGCAGGAGAGAAGGUCGCUGCCAGGU
rnacentral:rRNA from 1 species